rnacentral:misc_RNA from 1 species
AAAAUUAUGGUCAUAAAUUGAUAUUACCAUUUACCAGAAAGACAGCAAACCAGGUCUAAUUUAUUUUUUGGAAAAGGGAAAAUUACAUAAGCAAAAUUACAUAAGCAAAUACUAGCCUAAUACCAACCCCAUUUGAAACCCAAAACACUCACAUAAAUGUGCUAUUCCCUUUCCCCAUUAUUACAAACUUUCAAUCCUAUGUUUAGUCACUGCAAACUUCAUCACUGACCCUAACCUUCUCAGGCACCUUUUCUUUCUUCACAUUGUCUUCAUUCUUAACCUCUGACUUCACCUGAGCAGCAACUACAGGACUUUCAUUUUCCACUUGACCUGUUCCACUUUCUUUCUUUUUCUCAAUCACAGGCUUCACCACCUCUUUCUUUGGUGUAGUCACAUACUGCCUUUCAUAGCUCUUUCCACAACAGCUGCUCUUCCUAUCCAUCUUCAAUUUGCUUUUCUAUAAGUCCCUAUUCGACAACUUGCUUAAAGAGAGAGAGCUUUUAUGCUAGAUCAUGAAUAAUUAGGUGACUAUAUAUAGAGAGAGCAGCAUAUGGGGAGUUUCUGUUGUUCAUUUCAAG